GACGAACGCUGGCGGCGUGCUUAACACAUGCAAGUCGAACGAAGUGGCGAACGGGUGAGUAACGUGUAAUCAACCUGCCCUUCAGAGGGGGACAACAGUUGGAAACGACUGCUAAUCCCCCAUACUGAAGGAGGGGAUUGCGUGUGAUUAGCUAGUUGGGGGGGUAACGGCCCACCAAGGCGAUGAUCAGUAGCCGGGCUGAGAGGGUGAACGGGCAAAUUGGGACUGAGACACGGCCCAGAAUCCGACGGGAGGCAGCAGUGGGGAAAUUUCCGCAAUGGACGAAAGUCUGACGGAGCAACGCCGCGUGAGUGAUGACGGCCUUCGGGUUGUAAAGCUCUGUUAAUCGGGACGCGGUACCGGAAUAGAAAGCCACGGCUAACUACGUGCCAGCAGCCGCGGUAAUUC
rnacentral:rRNA from 1 species